rnacentral:rRNA from 1 species
GAUGAACGCUGGCUACAGGCUUAACACAUGCAAGUCGAGGGGAGACGACGGGGAAGCUUGCUUCCCCGGGCGUCGACCGGCGCACGGGUGAGUAACGCGUAUCCAACCUGCCUCUGACUGAGGGAUAACCCGUCGAAAGUCGGCCUAAUACCUCAUGGCAUCGUCUGCGGGCAUCCAACGACGAUUAAAGAUUUCAUCGGUCAGGGAUGGGGAUGCGUCUGAUUAGCUAGUUGGCGGGGUAACGGCCCACCAAGGCGACGAUCAGUAGGGGUUCUGAGAGGAAGGUCCCCCACAUUGGAACUGAGACACGGUCCAAACUCCUACGGGAGGCAGCAGUGAGGAAUAUUGGUCAAUGGGCGAGAGCCUGAACCAGCCAAGUAGCGUGCAGGAUGACGGCCCUAUGGGUGGUAAACUGCUUUUAUGCGGGGAUAAAGUGAGGGACGUGUCCUUCAUUGCAGGUACCGCAUGAAUAAGGACCGGCUAAUUCCGUG